GACGAACGCUGGCGGCGUGCUUAACACAUGCAAGUCGAACGGAAAGGCCCUGCUUUUGUGGGGUGCUCGAGUGGCGAACGGGUGAGUAACACGUGAGUAACCUGCCCUUGACUUUGGGAUAACUUCAGGAAACUGGGGCUAAUACCGGAUAGGAGCUCCUGCUGCAUGGGGGGGGUUGGAAAGUUUCGGCGGUUGGGGAUGGACUCGCGGCUUAUCAGCUUGUUGGUGGGGUAGUGGCUUACCAAGGCUUUGACGGGUAGCCGGCCUGAGAGGGUGACCGGCCACAUUGGGACUGAGAUACGGCCCAGACUCCUACGGGAGGCAGCAGUGGGGAAUAUUGCACAAUGGGCGGAAGCCUGAUGCAGCAACGCCGCGUGCGGGAUGCCGGCCUUCGGGUUGUAAACCGCUUUCGCCUGUGACGAAGCGUGCGUGACGGUAAUGGGUAAAGAAGCACCGGCUAACUACGUG
rnacentral:rRNA from 1 species